AUUGAACGCUGGCGGCAUGCCUUACACAUGCAAGUCGAACGGCAGCACGGGUGCUUGCCCCUGGUUGCGAGUGGCGAACGGGUGAGUAAUACAUCGGAACAUGUCCUGUAGUGGGGUAUCGCCCGGCGACAGCCGGAUUAAUACCGCAUACGAUCUACGGAUGAAAGCGGGGGCCCUUCGGGCCUCGCUCUAUAGGGUUGGCCGAUGGCUGAUUAGCUAGUUGGUGGGGUAAAGGCCUACCAAGGCGACGAUCAGUAGCUGGUCUGAGAGGACGACCAGCCACACUGGGACUGAGACACGGCCCAGACUCCUACGGGAGGCAGCAGUGGGGAAUUUUGGACAAUGGGCGAAAGCCUGAUCCAGCAAUGCCGCGUGUGUGAAGAAGGUCUUCGGGUUGUAAAGCACUUUUGUCCGGAAAGAAAUCCUUGGACCUAAUACGGUCGGGGGAUGACGGUACCGGAAGAAUAAGCACCGGCUAACUACGUG
rnacentral:rRNA from 1 species